rnacentral:misc_RNA from 1 species
GCAGCAGACCAGCCAAAGACGC